GCUGGAAUGGCCCAGUUUGUUAUGACGCCUGCCUGACACGCAGUAGGUCCUGGUUUCGAUUCUUAGAUCCAGUA